rfam:Acyrthosiphon pisum strain LSR1 Contig24066, whole genome shotgun sequence.
GUGGUUCAAAUUGACUCUAGUAGGGAGUCCUUAUAUUUAAUGUGACUCCCUAAUGGGGUCAGAUUGAAACGCUG